GACGAACGCUGGCGGCGUGCUUAACACAUGCAAGUCGAACGGAAAGGCCCUGCUUUUGUGGGUUGCUCGAGUGGCGAACGGGUGAGUAACACGUGAGUAACCUGCCCUUUACUUUUGGAUAACUUCAGGAAACUGGGGCUCAUACCGGAUAGGAGCUCCUGCUGCAUGGUGGGGGUUGGAAAGUUUCGGCGGUUGUGGAUGGACUCGCGGCUUAUCAGCUUGUUGGUGGGGUAGUGGCUUACCAAGGCUUUGACGGGUAGCCGGCCUGAGAGGGUGACCGGCAACAUGGGGACUGAGAUACGGCCCAGACUCCUACGGGAGGCAGAAGUGGGGAAUAUUGCAAAAGGGGCGGAAGCCUGAGGCAGCAACGCCGCGUGCGGGAUGACGGCCUUCGGGUUGUAAACCGCUUUCGCCUGUGACGAAGCGUGAGUGACGGUAAUGGGUAAAGAAGCACCGGCUAACUACGUG
rnacentral:rRNA from 1 species